rnacentral:lncRNA from 1 species
AUGCCGAGCUCUUUUACUGGGGGGCGGGGGAGACGACACUGCGGUCCUAGCGCUGCUCAGUACGGCCCAGAACCUAGCCCUGUGGUGUGUCCCCCGAGGGCGCAGCGCGGGGCCCUCGGGGUCGAGGCCGCAGGCGGCGAGCUGGGGCCCCGAAGGCCCGGGCUGAGCUCACCCCUCGGUUCCCGCGUCCGCGGCCCUGAGCGCACGGUGCUCGGAACUCGGAGGUGUCCGCGACUCCGGCAGCACCGGCCCGGGAGGGUGCGAACCAGAGGCGUUCCGAUCCGCGGAGUCCCAGCCUGGAACGUUCGGACCCUCGGAUUCCGGCCUCGAGCGUUCGGACCCUCGGGUUCCGGCCCCCGCGGCGCUGAGAGCCCGGAGCGCCAGGGCGCGCCAGCCGCGGGAUCCGAGCCGCGGACGGCGGGCGGGACAGCUCCCCCGCUCCGCCCGUGGGGAGCGCUCGCCCCUCCAGGAAGCGCCCGCCUCGCCUCCCCACCCCCGCCCCCUCUCGGCCGGAGGGAGGAGCCCGAGCCGCCGCCGCCGCCGCCCGCCCGCCCGGGAGGAGCACUGGACCCCAGGCGGCUGGGAGCGCACGCGAGCUGGCCAGGGCCGCGCGGGCAGCGCCCUGAGCCCGUCCCGCGCCCGCGGGCCCCGCCAAGCAGAGGAGCGCCCCGGGAUGCCCCGGCGGCCCGGAGCGCGGGCAGCGGCAGCGGCGACCACGCCGUGAGGGCGGCGGCGCCCGCGGGACCCGUGGUGAGUGGGGCCCGGGCGGGCCAGGGGCGGGCGGGGCGCCCUGGCGCUAACGCUAAGUUCGGCCUUUCGGCUCGGCUUCUCGAGCCGGUGGCGGGUUGGAAGGAGGCUGGGUUCCGCCUCGGGGGCCGUGACACCCGAAGCCCCCGCCACCCGCGCGCACCCGGGCUCUGGCCUUUGGGUGACUCAGCUGCGACCCGGCCACGCGGGGGCGCUCCGGCUGCGCCCGGACCACGGUGGGGGAAAGAGGAAAGGGUGCUGGAGGAGGGUGGUGCCCCUCGGUGUCCGAGCCCAGCUGUGUAG